rnacentral:tRNA from 1 species
CGGGCCGUGGCUCAGUUUGGUAGAGCGCUUGUCUGGGGGACAAGAGAUCGCUGGUUCGAAUCCAGUCGGCCCGACCA